rnacentral:lncRNA from 1 species
UCAGAAACAACUUACUGCCUUGGGAUCAGUUUUCUUGCUAUAGUUUGAGACUUAUUGGUGGUUAUAAUUAGUUUUUUAGUCAUUUAGAACUAUUGGUCAAUUUUAAUAUUUUUAUUUCCUGUUUAUUCCUGUGAAAGAGAUAAACAUGGGUAAAAAAGGCCUCCAAAAGAGUUUUGCCUCUUCAAGACUCUCAAGAAAGGACAAGCCAUGAACAGAGACAGAUAAACAGGAGGCCCUCCCUUUCCUCAGAGGACAGUGGAGAAAAGACAGAACUGAAUAAAACAAUGGAUAUCAUCUUCAGGAAUAUCAAGAACGAGGGUUGUUUUCAAAAGCCUGAUACAAGGGGGAAAGACAAUAAUUUUCCCUUUUGUCUGUACACAUUAACCUUCUGAAAGUGCUUUUCUAAACUGUGAAUUUAUUACUCCUUUAAAAGCUUUCUGUUUUCAUUCCAAGACUGCAAAAGGGCAGGGGCCCAGGUGGAAGACGGAGCACUAAAAAAGCAGAGCUAAAAUACAAUUUUCCCUGCAACUUUACCUGCAUACCAAAUUGUCAGAGGUUACCAUCCCCCAGACGGCAAAGAAGAUUUUCCUGCAGUUGAGAGAAAAGGCCGUUUUCUUCAUUCUAACACCCCCCGUUUUGCUCCCUAUAUAAAAAGCCCAGUGUUAACAUACAUGUUAUGACAACAAGCGGAGUUAUUAAUGUAACUUCUCCUUUGACCUUUAGAAUAAUGAGAAGGAAGAAGAUAAAAGGAAAUUCUCCAUUACUUUCUGUAAACUUAUUUACGGGUUAAUUGUCAGAUAAUUUUUAUGAGUACAUUUUGGUACCUCCACAAUGACUUAAAUAUACAAGUGUGGCAAAUGUAUGCCUCUGCAUGUACACUUGUUAAGAAGCUGUAAUUAGCCAUGUAUCACCUUAUAAUAUAUGAAAUUAAGCUGCAAAGAAAGCCUAUGGCAUUGAAAUUGGACUGUAACACUGAUUAGUGCUUGAAAUGUAGUUAACAGAGCAAAAUAAAAAGUGCAUUUUCACAAUUCA